rnacentral:rRNA from 1 species
GACGAACGCUGGCGGCGUGCUUAACACAUGCAAGUCGAACGGAAAGGCCCUGCUUUUGUGGGGUGCUCGAGUGGCGAACGGGUGAGUAACACGUGAGUAACCUGCCCUUGACUUUGGGAUAACUUCAGGAAACUGGGGCUAAUACCGGAUAGGAUCUCCUGCUGCAUGGUGGGGGUUGGAAAGUUUCGGCGGUUGGGGAUGGUCUCGCGGCUUAUCAGCUUGUUGGUGGGGUAGUGGCUUACCAAGGCUUUGACGGGUAGCCGGCAUGAGAGGGUGACCGGCCACAUUGGGACUGAGAUACGGCCCAGACUCCUACGGGAGGCAGCAGUGGGGAAUAUUGCACAAUGGGGGGAAGCCUGAUGCAGCAACGCCGCGUGCGGGAUGACGGCCUUCGGGUUGUAAACCGCUUUGGCCUGUGACGAAGCGUGAGUGACGGUAAUUUGUAAAGAAGCACCGGCUAACUACGUG